rnacentral:rRNA from 2 species
GAGACCCACGCCCACAGUUGCCAGCGUACUCUCCGGAGUGACGGGUACACUGUGGGGACCGCCGCUGCUAAAGCGGAGGAAGGAAUGGGCAACGGUAGGUCAGUAUGCCCCGAAUAUCCCGGGCUACACGCGAGCUACAAUGGUUGGUACAAUGGGUAUCUACCCCGAAAGGGGAUGGAAAUCUCCUAACGCCAAUCUUAGUUCGGAUCGAGGGCUGCAACUCGCCCUCGUGAAGCUGGAAUCCGUAGUAAUCGCACAUCAACAGUGUGCGGUGAAUAC